rnacentral:rRNA from 1 species
GACGAACGCUGGCGGCGUGCUUAACACAUGCAAGUCGAACGGAAAGGCCCUGCUUUUGUGGGGUGCUCGAGUGGCGAACGGGUGAGUAACACGUGAGUAACCUGCCCUUGACUUUGGGAUAACUUCAGGAAACUGGGGCUAAUACCGGAUAGGAGCUCCUGCUGCAUGGUGGGGGUUGGAAAGUUUCGGCGGUUGGUGAUGGACUCGCGGCUUAUCAGCUUGUUGGUGGGGUAGUGGCUUACCAAGGCUUUGACGGGUAGCCGGCCUGAGAGGGUGACCGGCCACAUUGGGACUGAGAUACGGCCCAGACUCCUGCGGGAGGCAGCAGUGGGGACUAUUGCACAAUGGGCGGAAGCCUGAUGCAGCAACGCCGCGUGCGGGAUGACGGCCUUCGGGUUGUAGACCGCUUUCGCCUGUGACGAAGCGUGAGUGACGGUAAUGGGUAAAGAAGCACCGGCUAACUACGUG